rnacentral:misc_RNA from 1 species
CCGAGUUAGGGUUCGUCCAACGAGCCCGACCUCCCAACCCUUUGUCUAUAUUACCUUUGUCGUUGCUUCGGCGGACCGGCCGUGACCAACUGGUCGUGGCCGCCGGGGGUUCACCCCCUGGAGAGCGUCCGCCGACGGCCCAACUACAAACUCUUGUACCAAACCAUGUCGUCUGAAUUACUUGAUUAAAAUCAAAAAAACA